rnacentral:rRNA from 1 species
CGCCGCGUCUGAUUAGCUAGUUGGUAGGGUAACGGCCUACCAAGGCGACGAUCAGUAGCCGGACUGAGAGGUUGGCCGGCCACAUUGGGACUGAGAUACGGCCCAGACUCCUACGGAAGGCAGCAG